AUGCUCGUACCAGCAAAUGCCGAAUACCCUGUUCAAGAACUGUACAUCAAGGAGACCAACUAUAGCAUCGCGUGUGGAGUCUGCACGGCGCGCAAGGGUUCCAUAGUCCAGCGACCGCAGCUGGACGACUGGGAGAUCGCUUUCGGCAACUUGAGCUUCAUAGCAAACAUGAGCUUCUGGGUAGACUUGCACAAAGACUUCACUCAGACAUGGGUUUGGGGAAAUCAGGAUAUCUUGAACGUGACAGACAUUGCCAGCCUCCCAUUGAGGACGGAUUUUGAAAUCUAUUUAAUUCCUCUUGGACAUGCGCUGUCUGGAACAUGGCGGAGCCGUUUCUGAAGCAAGUGCCUUGCAGUAGCAGUGCGAACAUCAUGUGCACUGUGCCAUCCUCACCAACCAGUUGUAAUUACACAGAAACAAAGGGAAAGAUGCUUAACGUUUCGACUUUAUACCAGAGGUAAAAGACUCGGUUGACGGGUGUCGUAAAGCCUGCGAGAACCGGACUGACUGCUGGGCAGCGGAUUUCAACAUGAGCAAUAAUAGCUGCCGUCUGAUGACAUCAAGUAACGGGAGACCCCAAGUACCAGAUAUAGUGGAUAACGGCGAUUUUUCCAUCAUUGGAAAAACAUGUGCCUUGUACAAGAUGGCAUCGGACUCUGAUUUUAUCUGUAACUGCGCGGCCAUUCAAUUACCUGAACAGAAGAGAAGCGAAGAGAGUACGAGGAGCACUACACGCAACAAGUCAAGAAGGAAUUAAUUGUUGAGAAGGACACACUGUCUGCAACUGUGCGAAAGAAGAUCAGUGCCCGGAUGAGAGGAAGUCAUCGACAGGUCUCGGCUACAUGGGCAUCUCGAUGCUGGCUGUCGUGUUCGGCGGUCUGGAUUCUCUUAGACCUGGCAUCACUCAUCGCCCAUGCCAAGAUAGCAUAUAACAACAUAAGGGACUUUUUGUAAGUGACUCCAGCGAUGUGUAACUCUUCGUCCCUCCCUGUCCACAUAGGUCAGAGGUGUUCCCUCUCCCGGUGCAUGAAAAUUUAAUGAACAUUUAAUGUUUCCCAUUGACCGGUGACUCGACCUGCUUGCUCAUCAAGCAUCUCUUAAAGCCUGUUGUUGAGGAAAAGGUUCCGUCCAAAGUGAAGAGAAAAAAAAAAAAAACCCUAAAAAUUUCUUCGUUUAUUGUUUAAUAGUUUACUCAAUACGCAGUUGAAUUACCAAGUUUUAAUUGUGAAAACUGGGAUAAUGAAGUCAUGAAGUUGUGCUCAAAUCCUUUCAGGACCAUUCAUCAUUUUUAUGCUACAUACCGAUCUCUACUUUGUUGUUUUGACAGUUACACUAGUUAUUUUCUAAGUUUGUGUGAAGUUUUGGUUACCAUAUCGCUAUUACUACUGUGGUGUUAUGUGGUGCUUAGCAGAUCUCAUGACAGAAAUUCGAAAAAAAACCCUCGCCAGUAAAUGUUUUAACUUUUCUCUGAAGUCCAUAAGACAAAAUAUAUUCUAAACAUCUUGUGUCAACUGUAAGAAAACCCAAAAUAUUUGAUGGAGUGCACUGUAGAUAAAUCGUUAUUUAAUUUCACCACACAAUUAAAUAAGCGUUUAUAGUAUCGGUCAAAUCGUGCAAGAGAGAGGAGCUAGCUGAGAGGGGAUGAGAUUAGGAACCAUCCAAUUUGUUGUAUAUUCUAUUCAUUAUGUUGCUGCUUCUGCUGUUGUUACAGUGGCACAUUAUCUUGGAUUUUUAAAUGUAGCAGUAGUCAAAAGAAUUCUACAAUACUUUUAAAAUUUCAAACAAUUCUUUGAACUUUUCUGACAUAGUGAUUAUUUGCUUUUCUGUAACCUGUAGGCAAGCAUUGUUUUCUGUAAGUCAACGAAGACAUUUCACAAGACUGUUUUGCUAUGUUUAGUAUCACUAGUGAUAACAGUGACUGAUGGAGGAGAGAUGGCUGUCAGUUUAUGUUGAUAGAAAGCUGGCAUAUACUUGUCGUCGGUGACGGCGAAAUAACGAAGAUCAUGGCUCUCGAUGACCAAUGACAAGGGCUGCUUGUCUAGAGUAUAGACUAAUCCUGCGACAGCUAUCUGCCUGACAGCGAAGUGCAGGUUUUCAGCUGUUGUAGCAUUAUUAUAUUAAAAAAAUGUUUUUAUAUCAUGUUGCUGACAAUAUGUACCACUCAGCUUAACAACUUUAAGAGGCAAUCUUAGACUUUGAUUAUAAAAAUACAUUGCCAUAAAAUCGAAAAUUAUAAUGCUGUUUAAAACUAAUUUUAUCUGAUGUUCCAGAUUGUUAAUAAAGUAUAAAAACUAUGACAUAUUAUUAAAAUCAUGUUUAAUAUAUUUCUGUGUUUAAAAAAUAUGCUAUGACAAACUAAGUAUAAUCUAAAGGAGCAUACUUUGUAUUGUUGCACGUUAAAAUAAUUUCUAUGAAUUAAUGAAGUUGUACAAAACAUUUUAUAUUUUUAAUGUGUUGAUUAUUACAUUUAGGUGCCUUCUUCCCAAUAAAGCCAAUGUCUGUAACUUAUGGAUACCUUAAAUAUCAGUACCUAGUCUUCAAGAAAAUAUCCAUUUUUGUCAUUUUUUAAAAACAAUUUCUUAUUUGUAGUGAUGCACACUGUAGAUAUACAUAAAUUUCAAUUCCUCGUCUGCACAAAAUUUGCCAUUCCAUAAGUGCAAGAUGAAUACUUCUUAACUUUUGUAUAUACAAACAAAUUCUCUUGCUCAUAUUUAAUAUUUUGCAUACAUCUCAAAUUAACAAUUCAUUUGUAUUGUUGUAAGUUAUAAAAUUUAACCCUGUAUAUGUGUGAGUUUGUGUGUAUACAUGUUAGUAUAUUCUUGUGACUGAGUGCACAUGUAAAUUUGUGUAUGCAUAAUGUAUGCAAAAGUGUAAUGUUGAUGAAAACUUUGGUAAGAAUUUUAACUGUUGCAGACCACUUGAGCACACAGCAAUAAUGUAAUUGUGUAAAUUUCAGUGUCAGUGAAGGAUAGCUUUAAAGUUCAGAAAAGCAAACUCUGUGUGUGUGGUGCACUAAGCAUAUCAACUAUAGACCAUACAAUGUGCAAUGAAU